rnacentral:misc_RNA from 1 species
UUAAGUUCAGCGGGUAUUCCUACCUGAUCCGAGGUCAACCUUCAGAAGUUGGGGGUUUAACGGCGUGGCCGCGCUUUGUCCCGUUGCGAGGUUAGAUUACUACGCAGAGGAGUACAGCGUGACCGCCACUAGAUUUCGGGGACGGCGCGCCGCUAGGGACGGGCCGAGCCCCAACACCAAGCCCGGGGGCUUGAGGGUUG